UCUGAACUCUGAUAUUUAGAUUAUAAGAAUCUCUUAGUGAGUUGAAGAAAGAAGACCUUCAGUGUGCCCAGUGGAAAAGGAGGGAUAUUUCGUGGUCUUGUUACUCUUCAUAUCGUAUUUAUGGGAAUCAAGUACAAGAAAAAAAGGAAGGAAGAAGG